rnacentral:rRNA from 1 species
GACGAACGCUGGCGGCGUGCUUAACACAUGCAAGUCGAACGGAAAGGCCCUGCUUUUGUGGGGUGCUCGAGUGGCGAACGGGUGAGUAACACGUGAGUAACCUGCCCUUGACUUUGGGAUAACUUCUGGAAACUGGGGCUAAUACCGGAUAGGAGCUCCUGCUGCAUGGUGGGGGUUGGAAAGUUUCGGCGGUUGGGGAUGGACUCGCGGCUUAUCAGCUUGUUGGUGGGGUAGUGGCUUACCAAGGCUUUGACGGGUAGCCGGCCUGGUAGGGUGACCGGCCACAUUGGGCCUGAGAUACGGCCCAGACUCCUACGGGAGGCAGCAGUGGGGAAUAUUGCACAAUGGGCGGAAGCCUGCUGCAGCAACGCCGCGUGCGGGAUGACGGCCUUCGGGUUGUAAGCCGCUUUCGCCUGUGACGAAGCGUGAGUGACGGUAAUGGGUAAAGAAGCACCGGCUAACUACGUG